CGGGGUGUGGCUCAGCUUGGCUAGAGCGCUUGAUUUGGGAUCAAGAGGUCGCAGGUUCGAAUCCUGUC
rnacentral:tRNA from 1 species